rnacentral:rRNA from 1 species
UACGGGAGGCAGCAGUGGGGAAUAUUGGACAAUGGGCGAAAGCCUGAUCCAGCCAUGCCGCGUGCAGGAUGACGGCCCUAUGGGUUGUAAACUGCUUUUAUACGGGAAGAAAUGCGCCCACGUGUGGGCGUCUGACGGUACCGUAAGAAUAAGGACCGGCUAACUCCGUGCCAGCAGCCGCGGUAAUACGGAGGGUGCAAGCGUUGUCCGGAAUCAUUGGGUGUAAAGGGUGCGUAGGCGGGCGUCUAAGUCUGGGGUGAAAUCUUGCCGCUUAACGGUAAAAUGGCCUUGGAUACUGGGCGUCUUGAGUGUAGAAGAGGUAAGUGGAAUUCGUAGUGUAGCGGUGAAAUGCAUAGAUAUUACGAAGAACAUCAGUGGCGAAGGCGGCUUACUGGUCUACAACUGACGCUGAGGCACGAAAGCGUGGGGAGCGAACAGGAUUAGAUACCCUGGUAGUCCACGCCGUAAAC